AAAUGAAUUGACGGGGACCCGCACAAGCGGUGGAGCAUGUGGUUUAAUUCGAAGCAACGCGAAGAACCUUACCAAGUCUUGACAUCCCGAUGACCAAGUAUGUAAUGUACUCUCUCUUCGGAGCAUCGGUGACAGGUGGUGCAUGGUUGUCGUCAGCUCGUGUCGUGAGAUGUUGGGUUAAGUCCCGCAACGAGCGCAACCCUUAUCCUUAGUAGCCAGCGGAUUGGCCGGGCACUCUAGGGAGACUGCCAGGGAUAACCUGGAGGAAGGCGGGGAUGACGUCAAAUCAUCAUGCCCCUUAUGACUUGGGCUACACACGUGCUACAAUGGCGUAAACAAAGGGAAGCGAGCCUGUGAAGGGGAGCGAAUCCCAAAAAUAACGUCCCAGUUCGGACUGUAGUCUGCAACCCGACUACACGAAGCUGGAAUCGCUAGUAAUCGCGAAUCAGCAUGUCGCGGUGAAUACGUUCCCGGGUCUUGCACACACCGCCCGU
rnacentral:rRNA from 1 species